rnacentral:rRNA from 1 species
AUGGCAUCGGCUCGCGACGUGAUGCUCCACGUGCUGCUGCUCGCGGUGGCCCUCGCCGCGGCGCCCGGCGUCCUCUCGGACCCGCCACCGCUCCAGGACUUCUGCGUGGCCGACCUCAAGGCCGCCACGGCGGUCGACGGGUUCCCCUGCAAGGCGCCGUCGACGGUGGAGGACGACGACUUCUUCUCCGACGCCAUGGUCGCCGCGCCCAGAACCGACACCAACCCCUUCGGCGUCAACUCCACGCGCGCCACCGUGUCGGUCUUCCCGGGCCUGAACACGCUGGGCCUCUCCAUCACGCGCACCGACCUCGCCGUGGGCGGCCUCAACCCGCCGCACUCGCACCCUCGCGGCUCGGAGCUCGUGCUGGUGCUCAAGGGCGAGGUCAUGGUCGGGUUCACCUCGGCGACCAACCGGCUCUUCACCAAGGUGGUGAAGGAGAACGAGCUCUACGUCGUGCCCCGCGGCCUCCAGCACUACCAGCUCAACGUUGGCACCGGGGACGCCGUGUUCAUGGCCAUGUUCGACGCCCAGUCGCCGGGCCUUGUCACGCCCACGCUCGCGCUCUUCGCGACCGAGCCGGCCAUGCCGAUGGAGGUGCUCACCAAGACCUUCCUCAUGGGCGAAGAUGAUGUCACCACCAUGAAAUCCAAAUUCGCCGGCUUCUGA